rnacentral:rRNA from 1 species
CCUACGGGUGGCAGCAGUGAGGAAUAUUGGUCAAUGGGCGGAAGCCUGAACCAGCCAAGUAGCGUGAAGGAUGACUGCCCUACGGGUUGUAAACUUCUUUUGUAAGGGGAUAAGGUGCUCCACGUGUGCCUUUGUGGAUGUACUUUAUGAAUAAGGGUCGGCUAACUCCGUGCCAGCAGCCGCGGUAAUACGGGGGAGCCGAGCGUUGUCCGGAUUUAUUGGGUUUAAAGGGAACGCAGAGGGGUAGUUAAGUCAGGUGUGAAAUUUUGGGGCUUAACCGGAGAAUUGCAUUUGAUACUGGAAGUCUUGAGUACAGUAGAGGUAGGCGGAAUUCGUGGUGUAGCGGUGAAAUGCGUAGAUAUCACGAGGAACUCCGAUUGCGAAGGCAGCCUCCUAAGCUGCGACUGACAUUGAUGUUCGAAAGUGUGGGUAUCAAACAGGAUUAGAUACCCGUGUAGUC